GCUGCCGCCAACUCGUUUGCGAUGAGCACUACGGAUCGGCCCUCUCAAGGCUGAAACAGGGGUUCGAUUCCCCUAGGGAGCGCCA
rnacentral:tRNA from 1 species